UGUCGCAGUUCAGUGUGUUGUUUGCUUCCUCGGGGUUUCCCAGCGGCAGUUCUGGGCUCAGCUGCUGCUCUGGCCUUUCCCUCCUCUGGAGCCUGCACCAAACUGCUGCUGGUUUGGCUGGGGGGUCGAUGCCUCUGCCAACUCCCCCACUCGAAGCCACAGGACGAGUCCCAAGUUUGUCCAUCUGCAGCUCAGAACCUGCGCUCGUCACAUCUCCUUCCGCACGGGCUGUUGGAAACCACGUUCCUGACCCCAUGAACGUCCCCGUUCUCCAUCCGACUCCUCUGCUGAGGGGGCGUUUGUGCCCGGGCAGGCGGCAGCCGUGUCGCCCCAGCAGAGCCCACAAGGUGUCCCCGCCCUGCUCAGCCCUGGGGACCCCAGUGUGACAUCAGAGCCGCCACUGUGAGGUCAGAGUUGGCCAGCGUGGCCUUCCCGCCCGGGGAAGGAGCCCCAGCUGCCAUUUGGCUGUUGCCCUGGGCAGGCAGCUCCUGCUGCGGGUGCUCUUGGGCUGCUUGAGCUGUUGGUGCCUGGACAGGCCAAGUGCUGCGCUGAGCGGGGAGCCCGCCCUUGCCAGCCAUGGCCAGGAGAAAGGCACCCCGGAGAAGAUGCCGAGAGGCCUCCAAAGGCUCCUUGGAGGCCAAGGCUGACCAAGAGCCAGCAGGGGAGGCAGGGGGGCCGAGCCGCUGCCAGACGAGUGGGUAAGAAUUGGCCGCUCCUGCCCGGGGCGGCGGGUUGGGGUGGGAGCUGGGACGCGGCCGGACACGACCUGUGGGGUGGGGAGCAGCGUGGGGAAGAUGACAGAGGCUUCUGGAGAGAGAAACGGAGCUGGGGAAGGGGCUGCCUCUGUCCCCGCAGCUGGGACGUCCCCUGCGAGGCUUCCCGAGGCCGAGCUCUGGCCAGGGCCUCGGCUCACACAGCGUGGGGCUGGUGGGCAAGCGGCAUCUCCCUUUGUCCUCCCGCAGGAGCGCCGGCACGAGGUUGGAGCUGGUGACGCGAUUCUGGAAGUCAAGUCCCGGCUCUGCCACUCUGGGAUUUGCAAAGUGGCACAAUGAGGCCACAAAAAUUGCAUGGAUGGUCUUCAGCCUCACUUGCCAUGGGGCAGGUGCCCUGGUCUCGCUGUGGACACGUCUGCUGAGUGUGUCCGUCUUUGCCGUGCACAGGAUGGCCCCCAAAAAGAACUGGUUUGUGAUGGACAGGCAGAGGAUGCAGUUCUUGAGGGACAUGAGGUUCUUUCGAGUCAUCCUCCUGUUGCUCCUGGUGGCUCUUGGCAUUUACUGCACAACCUCGAUGCCAGGGUGGACGACACGGGCGAAGGGGUGGAUGGAGGUGGGUGACUCCUGCAAGGGAGCGCUGCUGACAGCGGCUGGAGAAAUCAUGGGCUCUUCUGCUCCCGUGCAGGGUGAUGCAAAGAAAGAGCAGCUUGUGCCGUGUCUCCUGGGGAAGCCUCCCCCGGGGAGCCCCGGCAGCUCUGGUGGUGGAGACUCUAACGGGGAAUUGUUCCCUUUCAGGAGCAGAUCUGUGGGUCUGCGAUCACACAGAAGAUCCAGAGGUAAGAGAUGUUUCCUGAGCUGCAACUGGGUCUGUGCAGAAGCCUCAGCCAACACCUCGUGCUACCUGCACCCAUUUUCCUAAAGCCAGGGCUCCCGUCCUUCCCUCUGGCCUUUGCAUUGCUCAGCCGGGUGAGGAGGGAAGCGCUGGCAAAGCCAGGCGAGCAUCCGUGUCUGUGCUCCGUGCUGAGCU